rnacentral:rRNA from 1 species
UACGUAGGCAGCAAGCGUUGUUCGGAAUACUGGGCGUAAAGAGUGUGUAGGCGGUGCUCCAAGUCUGGUGUGAAAUCUCCCGGCUUAACUGGGAGGGUGCAUUAGAAACUGGAUGCUAGAGGAUGGGAGAGGUAAGCGGAAUUCCUGGUGUAGCGGUGAAAUGCGUAGAUAUCAGGAGGAACACCUGUGGUGUAGACAGCUUACUGGACCAUUUCUGACGCUGAGACACGAAAGCGUGGGUAGCAAACAGG